CAGUCGCCGCGGGAAUACGUAGGUGGCAAGCGUUGUCCGGAAUUAUUGGGCGUAAAGGGUGCGUAGGCGGUUUCGUAAGUCUUAUGUGAAAUCUAUGGGCUCAACCCAUAGUCUGCAUGGGAAACUGCGAGGCUUGAGGAUGGGAGAGGUGAGUGGAAUUUCCGGUGUAGCGGUGAAAUGCGUAGAUAUCGGAAGGAACACCUGUGGCGAAAGCGGCUCACUGGACCAUUUCUGACGCUGAUGCACGAAAGCUAGGGGAGCAAACAGGAUUAGAUACCCGCGUAGUCCCUGUCUCUUAUAA
rnacentral:rRNA from 1 species